rnacentral:rRNA from 1 species
AUUGAACGCUGGCGGCAUGCCUUACACAUGCAAGUCGAACGGCAGCACGGGGGCAACCCUGGUGGCGAGUGGCGGACGGGUGAGUAAUGCAUCGGAACGUGCCCUGAAGUCGGGGGAUAACGCAGCGAAAGCUACGCUAAUACCGCAUAUUCUGUGAGCAGGAAAGCAGGGGAUCGCAAGACCUUGCGCUUUGGGAGCGGCCGAUGUCGGAUUAGCUAGUUGGUGGGGUAAAGGGCCUACCAAGGCGACGAUCCGUAGCGGGUCUGAGAGGAUGAUCCGCCACACCUGGGACUGAGACACGGCCCAGACUCCUACGGGAGGCAGCAGUGGGGAAUUUU